UUCGGAAUGAAACCAGAUAUGACUUAGUGGCGGACGGGUGAGUAACACGUGAGCAACCUGCCUUUCAGAGGGGGAUAACGGCUGGAAACGGUCGCUAAUACCGCAUGACGUGUCCGGAUGGCAUCAUCUGAACAUCAAAGAUUUAUCGCUGAAAGAUGGACCCGCGUCUGAUUAGGUAGUUGGUGGGGUAACGGCCUACCAAGCCGACGAUCAGUAGCCGACCUGAGAGGGUGACCGGCCACAUUGGGACUGAGACACGGCCCAGACUCC
rnacentral:rRNA from 1 species